UCAAUUACCCGCUGCCACCUGGACCCGGACGCUGAGUAGGUUUCAAGACCCGCCACAGCCGCCCAGCAGUUGCUCUAACAGCAAGACAACAGCCACCCCCCACGGUUGCCUUCCAACGCCAACUGCGUACCAUCAAUGCAUUAUAUUGUCGCUACAUCCGCAUACAACAACUCGUCGUACUCGUCUUACCCCCUAUCCCCCCCGUGCUGUCGUGCAUACACACACACACACACACACACUACAAUGGACCGACCCUUACCCCCCCCAGGCAGUCUCAACAGCCCGGGACCUACAACAACCCCGGAAACAAGCUAACAACCCUUAACAGCACCGGAACACGAACCAACCGUACACGGCUAUUGCCUAUCCCUG
rnacentral:lncRNA from 1 species